rnacentral:rRNA from 1 species
GCCGGAGGAGGCAAUCGUUAUCCGGAAUGAUUGGGCGUAAAGCGUCCGUAGGUGGCCAAUCAAGUCUGCGGUUAAAGACAGGGGCUUAACUCCUGAAAGGCCGUGGAAACUGAAGGGCUAGAGUAGGAUAGGGGCAGAGGGAAUUCCCGGUGUAGCGGUGAAAUGCGUAGAGAUCGGGAAGAACAUCGGUGGCGAAAGCGCUCUGCUGGGUCCAAACUGACACUGAGGGACGAAAGCUAGGGGAGAGAAUGGG